AUGUCACCACAAACAGAAAUUAAAGCAGAUGUUGGAUUUCAAGCCGGUGUUAAAGAUUAUAAAUUGACUUACUACACCCCAGAGUAUGAAACUAAAGAUACUGAUAUCUUGGCAGCAUUCCGAGUAAGUCCUCAGCCUGGGGUUCCGCCCGAAGAAGCAGGGGCUGCAGUAGCUGCCGAAUCUUCUACUGGUACAUGGAUAACUGUUUGGACUGAUGUCUUGAUAGGGGAAGACAACCAAUGGAUCUGUUAUGUAGCUUAUCCAUUAGACCUAUUUGAAGAGGGUUCCGUUACUAACAUGUUUACUUCCAUUGUAAGUAACGUAUUUGGUUUCAAAUCCCUACGUGCUCUACGUUUGGAGGAUCUACGAAUUCCCCCUACUUAUUCAAAAACUUUCCAAGGCCCGCCUCAUGGUAUCCAAGCUGAAAGAGAUAAGUUGAACAAGUAUGGUCGUCCUUUAUUGGGAUGUACUAUCAAACCAAAAUUGGGAUUAUCCGCAAAAAAUUAUGGUAGAGCGUGUUAUGAGUGUCUACGUGGUGGACUUGAUUUUACAAAAGAUGAUGAAAACGUAAACUCACAACUAUUUAUGCGCCGGAGAGAUCGUUUUGCCUUUUGUGCCGAAGCUAUUUAUAAAUCACAAGCCGAUACCGGUGAAAUCAAGGGGCAUUACUUGAAUGCGACUGCAGGUACAUGUGAAGAAAUGAUUAAGAGAGCUGUAUUUGCAAGAGAAUUAGCGGUUCCUAUUGUAAUGCAUGACUACUUAACUGGGGGAUUCACCGCAAAUACUACUUUGGCUCAUUAUUGCCGCGACAAUGGCCUACUUCUUCACAUUUACCGUGCAAUGCAUGCAGUUAUAUGCAGUUAUUGA
rnacentral:rRNA from 1 species